AGUGAACGCUGGCGGUAGGCCUAACACAUGCAAGUCGAACGGCAGCACAGUAAGAGCUUGCUCUUACGGGUGGCGAGUGGCGGACGGGUGAGGAAUACAUCGGAAUCUACUUUUUCGUGGGGGAUAACGUAGGGAAACUUACGCUAAUACCGCAUACGACCUACGGGUGAAAGCAGGGGAUCUUCGGACCUUGCGCGAUUGAAUGAGCCGAUGUCGGAUUAGCUAGUUGGCGGGGUAAAGGCCCACCAAGGCGACGAUCCGUAGCUGGUCUGAGAGAAUGAUCAGCCACACUGGAACUGAGACACGGUCCAGACUCCUACGGGAGGCAGCAGUGGGGAAUAUUGGACAAUGGGCGCAAGCCUGAUCCAGCCAUACCGCGUGGGUGAAGAAGGCCUUCGGGUUGUAAAGCCCUUUUGUUGGGAAAGAAAAGCAGCAGGUUAAUACCCCGCUGCUCUGACGGUACCCAAAGAAUAAGCACCGGCUAACUUCGUG
rnacentral:rRNA from 1 species